rnacentral:lncRNA from 1 species
UCGAUCUAAUCUAUUUCAUCUUCUUGUCCAUGACUCCAUUGAGUACUCUUGCUCUAUCGGAUGUCCCAUCCUAUUUCCGUCGCGACCCUCUGAUUUUUAUCCCUCGGGAUAUAUCCGUCGGAAACCAGUCCCACCCGAAGUAGUCCGAUCCAUCUCCACCAUAAUCCAGUCCCAUCACCAGCUGUCCGAUCCUUCCCAGCCGGAAACCAACCUGUUUAGUCUCUCCGCCGGAGACACCAUCACCAUUACCAGCUGUCUGAUCCUUCUCCGUUGGAAACCAGUCUCGAUUCGUUUCCGCCGAAAAAUAGUCUCAUCACCAGCUGUCCGAUCCUUCUACGCAGGAAAUCAAUCCCAUCACCAGUCCUAUUUUUCUCAGCCAGAAACAUGGGUCACUGGUUCAACAGAAUCAUUAACCAGUGUUGGUUCCGUGGCUUGGCCGGUUUUUAGGGAUAAUACAUAAUUCGUCUGUUUGUAUAAUUACUUUGCUUCUCCAAGAGCAAAGUUGUUGCCGAAACAAAUCAUGUUGCUUUCCUCCCUUCUUUCCGCAGAGCUUCCUUCCAAGCAAUUUCCAAUUGGCGAAAUUGUUAAAAGCCCUUUUAUUUUUCAUUGGCUGGAUCCAGAUUGAUGUUUGCUUCCUUUCUUCAAUUCGUGGGGAGUAGUUAUUUUUUCAGUUCAUGUUGUUUCGUUCUUUGUAGUAGAAAUCAUUUUUUUCAGACCCUAAUUUUGAUGUUUGCUUGUUUUCUUUAGUAGAAAUCAUUUUUUCAGGUAGAAGU